rnacentral:pre_miRNA from 1 species
GAAGUACUUCCUCCGUUACGGAUUACUUGUCGCAGAUAUGGAUGUAUCUAGAUAUAUUUUAGUUCUAAAUAUAUCCAUUUAUGCAACGACUAAUUUGAAACGGAGGGAGUACUAU